GGUUGGUCCGCGUGCAUUGGUGUUUACAACUAAUUGAUCAUAACCAGUUACUAAUUCCUUUGUUCCUUCUCCACUCCCACUGCUUUACUAGACCAGUCUUUA
rnacentral:Y_RNA from 1 species